GCCCGGGUGGUGAAAUCGGUAGACACAAGAGACUUAAAAUCUCUCGCCGAAAGGUGUACGGGUUCGAGUCCCGUCCCGGGCA
rnacentral:tRNA from 1 species